rnacentral:rRNA from 1 species
CCUACGGGUGGCAGCAGUAAGGAAUAUUGGUCAAUGGACGAAAGUCUGAACCAGCCAUCCCGCGUGCAGGAUGAAAGCCCUAUGGGUUGUAAACUGCUUUUAGCAGAGAAGAAAAGCUUUCAUUAAUGAGAGUCUGACGGUAUCUGCAGAAUAAGCACCGGCUAACUCCGUGCCAGCAGCCGCGGUAAUACGGAGGGUGCGAGCGUUACCCGGAAUUAAGGGGUUUUAAGGGUAGGAUGACGGCAGUGGAGAAAUAUUGUCGCUUAACGAUAAAAUGGCCAAUGAUACUGGUACUCUUGAAUUGGGUUGAGGUUAGCGGAAUGUGACAUGUAGCGGUGAAAUGCAUAGAUAUGUCAUGGAACACCAAUUGCGAAGGCAGCUAACUGGGCCUUGAUUGACGCUGAGGCACGAAAGCGUGGGUAGCGAACAGGAUUAGAUACCCGGGUAGUC